rnacentral:rRNA from 1 species
UACGGAGGGUGCGAGCGUUAAUCGGAAUUACUGGGCGUAAAGCGUACGUAGGCGGUUAGAUUAGUCGGAUGUGAAAGCCCCGGGCUUAACCUGGGAAUUGCAUUCGAUACUGUCUGGCUUGAAUGUGGAAGAGGGAAGUGGAAUUCCAGGUGUAGCGGUGAAAUGCGUAGAUAUCUGGAGGAACAUCAGUGGCGAAGGCGACUUCCUGGUCCAACAUUGACGCUGAGGUACGAAAGCGUGGGGAGCAAACAGG